rnacentral:rRNA from 1 species
GUUAAAUAUACGGGCUCAACCCGUAUGCCGCGUAGGAAACUGGCGGGCUAGAGGAUGGGAGAGGUAAGCGGAAUUGCUGGUGUAGUAGUAAAAUGCGUUAAUAUCAGCAAGAACACCAAAGGCGAAGGCAGCUUACUGGAACAUUCCUGACGCUGAGGGACGAAAGCGUGGGGAGCGAAGCGGAUUAGUUACCCGCGUAGUCCACGCCCUAAACGAUGAGUGCUGGGUACUGGGAGUAUCGACCCUCCCAGUGCCGCCGAAAAAAGCUAACGCGUUAAGCACUCCGCCUGGGGAGUACGGCCGCAAGGCUAAAACUCAAAGGAAUAGACGGGGACCCGCACAAGCGGUGGAACAUGUGGUUUAAUUCGACGAUAAGCGAGGAACCUCACCUAGGUUUGACAUGUAGCUGCAAAUCCCUGGAAACAGGGACGCCUUCGAGGGUGCUACACAGGUGCUGCAUGGUUGUCGUCAGCUCGUGCCGUGAAGUGUACCCUUAAGUGGGGUAACGAGCGCAACCCUCGUGCUGUGUUAUUAUGUCACAGCAGACUGCCUCGGAUAACGGGGAGGAAGGUGGGGAUGACGUCAAAUCAGCAUGGCUCUUACGCCUAGGGCUACACACGUGUUACAAUGGACAGUACAAUGGGCAGCCAAGUCGCAAGACGGAGCAAAUCCCAUCAAAACUGUUCUCAGUUCGGAUCGAGGUCUGCAACUCGACCUCGUGAAGCUGGAAU